GUCGAACGAAGAAGUGGAGCAAUCCAUGAGUACAGUGGCGACCGGGUGAGUAACACGUGACUACCUGCCCUUGAGUGGGGAAUAACUCCGGGAAACCGGGGCUAAUACCGCAUAAUGUCGAAAGACCAAAGGAGCAAUCCGCUUUUGGAGGGGGUCGCGGCUGAUUAGCUAGUUGGUAGGGUAAUGGCCUACCAAGGCGAAGAUCGGUAUCCGGCCUGAGAGGGCGCACGGACACACUGGAACUGAAACACGGUCCAGACUCCUACGGGAGGCAGCAGUGGGGAAUUUUGCGCAAUGGGGGAAACCCUGACGCAGCAACGCCGCGUGGAGGAUGAAGCCCUUUGGGGUGUAAACUCCUUUCGACCGGGACGAUACUGACGGUACCGGUGGAAGAAGCACCGGCUAACUCUGUGCCAGCAGCCGCGGUAAUACAGAGGGUGCGAGCGUUGUUCGGAAUUAUUGGGCGUAAAGGGCGCGUAAGCGGUGCGGUAAGUCACCUGUGAAAACUCUGGGCUUAACUCAGAGCCUGCAGGCGAAACUGCCGCGCUCGAGUGUGGGAGAGGUGCGUGGAAUUCCCGGUGUAGCGGUGAAAUGCAUAGAUAUCGGGAGGAACACCUGUGGCGAAAGCGGCGCACUGGACCACAACUGACGCUGACGCGCGAAAGCUAGGGGAGCAAACAGGAUUAGUUACCCUGGUAGUCCUAGCCCUAAACUAUGAUUGCUUUGGUGUGAUGGGUACCCAAU
rnacentral:rRNA from 1 species